rnacentral:rRNA from 1 species
CAUAGCGAACGGGUGAGUAACGCGUGGAUUAUCUACCUUUUAAUUCAAUAUAAAAUAUUGAAUAAUACAUAAAGUUUGAAAACGUUAAAAGACGAGUUUGCGUAAGAUUAGGUAGUUGGUGUUUUAAUAGAUCACCAAGCCGAUUAUCUUUAGCUGGUUUGAAAGAAUGAUCAGCCACAUUGGGACUGAGACACGGCCCAAACUUUUUUAAAGGCAGCAGUAGGGAAUUUUGGACAAUGAGCGAAAGCUUGAUCCAGUAAUACUAAGUGAGUGAAGAAGGCUAAUUAGGUUGUAAAGCUCUUUCAUUAAGGAGGAAAAUGACAGUACUUAAAAAAGAAGUUCCGGCCAAUACUCGUGCCAGCAGCCGCGGUAAUACGGGAGGAGCGAGCAUUAUUCAAAAUGAUUAGGCGUAAAGGGUUUGUAGGUGGUUUUUUAAGUUGAAAAAAAAAGAAUAAAGCUCAACUCUAUACAUUUUUUCAAAACUGAAAAACUAGAGUACAUAUAGAGGAUAAUGGAAUUUUUAUUGUAGGGAUAAAAUAUAUUGAUAAUAGAAGGAACAUCAAAAGCGAAGGCAAUUAUCUGGGUCUGUACUGACACUGAGAAACGAAAGCUUGGGGAGCAAACGGGAUUAGAGACCCCGGUAGUCCAUGCUGUAAACGAUGAGUGCUCAUAUUUAGAAAAUUUUAGAUAUUAAGCUAACGCGUUAAGCACUCCGCCUGAAAAGUAUAAUCGCAAGAUUGAAAUUCAAAGGAAUUGACGGGAGCUUACACAAGCGGUGGAGCAUG